CCUACGGGCGGCAGCAGUGAGGAAUAUUGGUCAAUGGUCGGAAGACUGAACCAGCCAAGCCGCGUGCGGGAGGAAGGUACAGAGUAUCGUAAACCUCUUUUGUCAGGGAACAAAGGCGGGGACGUGUCCCCGGAUGCGUGUACCUGAAGAAAAAGCAUCGGCUAACUCCGUGCCAGCAGCCGCGGUAAUACGGAGGGUGCGUGCGUUAUCCGGAUUUAUUGGGGUUAAAGGGUGCGCAGGCGGUCUGUUAAGUGAGCGGUUAAAUGCCCGGGCUCAACCCCGGCCCCGCGGUGGAAACUGGCAGUCUCGAGUUGGAGAGAAGCAUGCGGAAUGCGUGGUGUAACGGUGAAAUGCAUAGAUAUGGCGCAGAACUCCGAUUGCGAAGGCAGCAUGCUGGCUCCACACUGACGCUGAGGCACGAAAGCGCGGGUAUCGAACAGGAUUAGAUACCCGAGUAGUC
rnacentral:rRNA from 1 species